rnacentral:rRNA from 1 species
GAUGAACGCUGGCGGCGUGCCUAAUACAUGCAAGUCGAGCGAACGGACGAGAAGCUUGCUUCUCUGAUGUUAGCGGCGGACGGGUGAGUAACACGUGGAUAACCUACCUAUAAGACUGGGAUAACUUCGGGAAACCGGAGCUAAUACCGGAUGAUAUUUUGAACCGCAUGGUUCAAAAGUGAAAGACGGUCUUGCUGUCACUUAUAGAUGGAUCCGCGCUGCAUUAGCUAGUUGGUAAGGUAACGGCUUACCAAGGCAACGAUGCGUAGCCGACCUGAGAGGGUGAUCGGCCACACUGGAACUGAGACACGGUCCAGACUCCUACGGGAGGCAGCAGUAGGGAAUCUUCCGCAAUGGGCGAAAGCCUGACGGAGCAACGCCGCGUGAGUGAUGAAGGUCUUCGGAUCGUAAAACUCUGUUAUUAGGGAAGAACAAAUGUGUAAGUAACUAUGCACGUCUUGACGGUACCUAAUCAGAAAGCCACGGCUAACUACGUG